CUUGGUCAUUUAGAGGAAGUAAAAGUCGUAACAAGGUAACCGUAGGUGAACCUGCGGUUGGAUCAUUAUUAAAUGUCAGCUUUAGAGCUUUCAAAACCGCUUGGGCGUCUGGUAAAACAGAUACCCGAGUCAACCUUGUGUGAACCGUUGAUUGUAUUUGGCAAUUCCAUUUAUUUGGGUUGCCACCUUUAUUAAACACCUUUAUAAACCCGUCUUAAUCAAAUAAUAUAAAUUUGAAACAACUUUUGACAACGGAUCUCUUGGCUCUCGCAACGAUGAAGAACGCAGCGAAAUGCGAUACGUAGUGUGAAUUGCAGAACCGUGAAUCAUCGAAUCUUUGAACGCAUAUUGCGCCUUUGGGUAUUCCUGGAGGCAUGCCUGUUUGAGAAUCAUUUAACUCAUCACCUCCAUGGUUGGCACUCUUGGGUGCUGGCUGUGGGCGUGGAUUUGGGCCUUCACAAUCUGAUUGUAUGGCCUUGAAUGCAUCGACCCGGCUAUAGUGCUUGCUUUACUCUAGUCAAAGUGUUAUCAAUUGCGGCCUCGGCUGUAUAUUUCACUGCGCCUAGGGUAUAUUACUGCCGUGCUAUUGUCUGGCUCAAUUAAACUAUUCUUUUGAAUGGACCACUCAAUUAUCUUUGAAAUCUUGGUCUCAAAUCAGGCAAGAGUACCCGCUGAACUUAAGCAUAUCAAUAAGCGGAGGA
rnacentral:rRNA from 1 species